ACUUCUGGCAUUACUGUGGCGAUUCCGUGGUGGUGGCAGGGCACGGACGAAACCAGGAUUGUUGUGCUGCCUUAGACCACGCUGCAAAAGGUCCUUGUGUUAAGGUGCAUCUAGUGCAGUUAGUGAUGUAGC